rnacentral:tRNA from 2 species
GAGCUUAACUGGCGUAGUGGAGAUUGCUAAUUAUCCACGACCACAGUUCAAUUCUGUGGUUAGCUCA